CAAUGAUGAUAACAUAGUUCAGCAGACUAACGCUGAUGAGCAAUAUUAAGUCUUUCGCUCCUAUCUGAUGUAUCUGGCGGUAACAUUCUAGUUUAUGCCCCGAAAAGGGGAAUAUAGCCAUUCUAUAAUGUUUGGAGAUUUUGGAUUACUCCUAAUUGUAUGCAAGUUGUCUUACUGUGUAUUGUCCCUUAAUUUCAGGACUCAGAAUUCAUGAUUGAAGAAAUGCAGGCAGACCUGUUAUCCUAAACUAGGGUUUUUAAUGACCACAACAAGCAAGCAUGCAGCUUACUGCUUGAAAGGGUCUUGCCUCACCCAAGCUAGAGUGCAGUGGCCUUUGAAGCUUACUACAGCCUCAAACUUCUGGGCUCAAGUGAUCCUCAGCCUCCCAGUGGUCUUUGUAGACUGCCUGAUGGAGUCUCAU
rnacentral:lncRNA from 10 species